rnacentral:rRNA from 1 species
UCCGCAGGUGGAUGGGUAAGUCGGUGGUGAAAUCGCUCCGCUCAACGGAGCAAUGGCCUCCGAUACUGCUCGUCUUGAGUUCGGGAGAGGGUGAUGGAAUUCAUGGUGUAGCGGUGAAAUGCGUAGAUAUCAUGAAGAACACCCGUAGCGAAGGCGGUCACCUGGCCCGAUACUGACGCUCAGGGACGAAAGCGUGGGGAGCAAACAGGAUUAGAUACCCUGGUAGUCCACGCCUUAAACGAUGGAUGUUCGGUGUCGGUCUCGUCAAACGAGGUCGGUACCUGAGCUAACGCGUUAAACAUCCCACCUGGGGAUACGAUCGCAAGGUUGAA